CCGACACAGGUGGGGUGGUAGAGAAUACCGAGGGGCGCGAGGUAACUCUCUCUAAGGAACUCGGCAAAAUGGCCCCGUAACUUCGGGAGAAGGGGUGCCACCGCAAGGUGGUCGCAGUGAAGAGGCCCAGGCGACUGUUUACCAAAAACACAGGUCUCCGCUAAGUCGCAAGACGAUGUAUGGGGGCUGACGCCUGCCCAGUGCCGGAAGGUUAAGGAAGCUGGUCAGCGUAAGCGAAGCUAGCGACUGAAGCCCCGGUGAACGGCGGCCGUAACUAUAACGGUCCUAAGGUAGCGAAAUUCCUUGUCGGGUAAGUUCCGACCCGCACGAAAGGCGUAACGAUCUGGGCGCUGUCUCGGAGAGAGGCUCGGCGAAAUAGAAUUGUCUGUGAAGAUGCGGACUACGUGCACCCGGACAGAAAGACCCUAUGAAGCUUUACUGUAGCUUGGUAUUGUGCUCGGGCUCGGAAUGCGCAGGAUAGGUGGGAGGCUAUGAACCAUUGCUUGUGGGUGAUGGUGAGCCACUGGUGAGAUACCACUCUUUCCGAGCUAGAGUUCUAACAGCCACCCGUUAUCCGGGGGCUGGACAGUAUCAGGUGGGCAGUUUGACUGGGGCGGUCGCCUCCUAAAAGGUAACGGAGGCGCGCAAAGGUUUGCUCAGGCUGGUUGGAAAUCAGCCGACGAGUGUAAAAGCAGAAGCAAGCUUGACUGUGAGACCUGCAAGUCGAACAGGGAGGAAACUCGGCUUUAGUGAUCCGACGGUUCUGCGUGGAAGGGCCGUCGCUCAACGGAUAAAAGUUACUCUAGGAUAACAGGCUGAUCUCCCCCAAGAGUUCACAUCGACGGGGAGGUUUGGCACCUCGAUGUCGGCUCAUCGCAACCUGGGGCUGAAGUCGGUCCCAAGGGUUGGGCUGUUCGCCCAUUAAAGCGGUACGCGAGCUGGGUUCAGAACGUCGUGAGACAGUUCGGUCCAUAUCCGGUGCAUGCGCAGGAAUAUUGAGAGGAUUUCUCCCUAGUACGAGAGGACCGGGAGGAACGCACCUCUGGUGUACCAGUUAUCGUGCCAACGGUAAACGCUGGGUAGCCAUGUGCGGAGAGGAUAACCGCUGAAAGCAUCUAAGUGGGAAGCCCACCUCAAGAUGAGUAUUCCCAUGGGGUAACCCAGUAAGGUCACGGGAAGAACACCCGUUGAUAGGCUCUACGUGGAAGCGCAGUAAUGUGUGAAGCGGAGGAGUACUAAUAGACCGAGGGCUUGACC
rnacentral:rRNA from 1 species